UCUCUUAGAUACACAGAGUGAUUAAAGAGUGAUCACACCCAUCAGCCAAAUCGAAAUAUCAUGAUGAUUGAUCAAUGCUACUGAUAAUUUUUCCCUUUUUUCAUGUUAUCCCCAUUUGAAUCUUAAAUUAACAAUUAUCAUUAAUAUUAUCUACAUCAUAAUAAAAAUCAUCACCAUCAUCAUCAUUAUAAUCAUCAAGUUAACCAGUUUGUGAGUUGGAACGCAGAAAGAGGCUAGAAGAUUGAAUUUUGUGAUAGUGAUUACAUGUGAAUCUAAACAGAUCUUCAAUAUUCACUACAAGAGUCUUUUACUGUUGAUUAUUAUUUUGCCAAAUCAAACAAUCACAAUGACAUUCAAUUUUAUCUCCAUUUUAUCAUUACUCUGGAAUUCUUCGAGUUGAAUUUUCAAUUAUUGGUUACUGAUAUUUUUAUCAUUCUUAAUCCAGGAUUAAUAAUCCAGAUGCAUAAAUGGAUUUUAACCAAACCUUGAAUCAAUCUCGACAUGAACAAGUGCAUUCGGGAAAAAUUUCACGGUAAAAGUCAUCUAAUCUGGUACUUUAGAGAGCAGCCUUACAAUUUAUCUUCGUAGACACUAACUACACCUUUUUACACCCACCAAGCCCAACAUGACCAUCACCAUGGAUUGGGAACAUUAAAGUUUUAAAUAGUUAAUCUUUUGAGAUUUACUCAGAUUAAAACACUUUAUCUGGACAUUCAACAUUUAUUUUUUCAUGGAAAAGUGACAAAUUUCAACUUUCACUACACACAUUCGUACUUUUUUAAAGCAACAUCCAAACCUGAUUAAAGUUAAACAUCAUAAUUAAGAGAAGUGAAAUCAUCAGCUCGGUACAAUGGAUUUGUUUUGACUUGGACGACCCAUUUUCAUGGCAGUAAUUUAUUUCAACCUUCAGUGUAUUAAAAAUGUUAUCUAAUUGAGUUGACUCAAUAUAUCAUUGUAAAUCUUUAUCAAGAUUUUACGUGCACAGGCUUAAGAAAGUAAGAAUCAGAUAAAACGAGUCUAAAUGUAUUACAAUUAAUAAAUAAUGGUUUUGUCGUUAGGAGAAAGUUAAUUUAUCGCUGUAUUGAAUGGGUUAACUGAAAUCAAAUCAUAUUUUCGUUUUCACACGCAUUCAAUGCAACAAAGUUGAAGCUAAAAUACAUAUUUACUCCAAGAACUGCCUCAAGGAGUAUCAGUAUUUGAAACUGAUUUGUUGAUUAAUUAGAAUGGAAACUCACUUUGAUAACAAUUUGAAAGGUCACAAAAUGAUGAGAUGUAUAAUUUCAACUAGUUUAUGCGAUAUAUUGGCAAUAUCUUAUCAUUGGAUCGAUCAAAUGAAAAUGGUGAUUUGCAAGUAAUUGAUUAUUAUUCAUUGAUAAGCUGUGAUUGGUCUACGCUUAAGGUCAAUUUAAUGAAUUUUCAAUGGAGAUUGCCGUAAAAAUGGUACAAAUUGGUCUAUUAAUGUUCAUCACUUGCAGUGAAGUUUGAAUUAUUGCUGGUCAAGACAGAUAUUAUUAAUACACUUGGCAAACUUUAUCAAGACGAGAAAAAUGGUCAAAAGUGAUAAUACAAGGAUAUGGAUAUUAUUGUGAUUGCAAUCAACAUAUUUUUAUUGGUCUAAUUGAGCACUUGGUUGUUCUUUGCCAAUCAUAACCUGGAAUCCAAGCAAAAAGAACCGUAACUUUAAUUUCAUUUUUUCAUCGUACAAAAUGUUUCCUCAGAGAGUCACACACAAGAUUUCAAAUGAGAAAUUGAAUAAUCUCCUUUUAUUAUUCAAUUGCUAGAAAAUCUAACAUUUUCAGCUGUAACAUCAUUAUUAUCAAUGUUAGUGAGCGAAUGAGUUUCUCUUUUUCAACCAUUUAUUGACUUUCAAACUGUAGAUUAUUACAAAACCAUGUUCAAUUGAUAAAAAUCAAACAUUAACAUGAAGACAAUCAUCAACAAGCAAAAAGUAGAAUAUAAAAAGCUAACAUUGACAUUAUACCGAGAAUAUAAUAAGUAUAUGAAAACCAAGUCAUAUAAGCAGAUCAAUUUGGACCCAAAUUUAAAUCCUAUCACAGGGACAUCAACAGCUGAUAAAAUCUCCUGCAACUCUAUUGUUAAACUUUUUUGGCAAUAGCUUUUCAAGUUAUCUAUCUUUUACCUCUCACUCUUUCUCAUAGUAAGAGAGUGCUUAUCAUCUCUCUUCUUUCCUGUCUUUCAUUUUAUCUAUUCUGACUUUUACUUUCUUUUUUUGUAUUGUAAUAUAGUGACAAACGGCUUGGUUAAUAUGAUGAUAUCUAUCGAUGAUGAUGAUGCUGUUCUUAACCUGACAGAAACUCGCAAUGAAGAUAGUAAAAAAAGAUCAACAAAAGAUGCCUUUAUUUUGGCUUUUGCCACACACACAAACACAUCAACAGUAACAUCAACAAUGGACUUAAUCACUGUGAUCAAAACGAUUGGUCCGGAAAUAGUGUUGUCACAUGAUAGGGGCAACUUUGAUCAAGUUAAAUGAUUAGCGAGGACUGAUCAAUGGAUAUUAAUCAAAAUGAUAUUGGAUUUGCAAAGAUGAUCGACAAAGCAAAGUGGUCAAGUUGGUGAACACAAAAAUGGAUAUCAAAUUGGAAACCAAAUCAACAUUGAAUGGACAUUAAACGAACUUUAAACCAACAUCAAAUCGAAACAUUAAACCAAAUUUAAUCAUCAUUAUCACACUAACGAUGAUAUUAAAAGUUUAACCCACGACUAUUUAAGGAUUACCAUCAUUUAAUCAAGCAAAUGGAUACAAGAGGAUCUUCAUUUGAUGGUGCAGCAAAAAAAAGAUUCACUGGUUUAUAAAGAGGUUAAGGAAAUGGAAAGGAAAAUGAGCAAUAUAAAAAUCAUGAUAAUAAUUAUUAGCAUGGUGAUGACAAACUUCAGAUGUAGAUGAAGGUGUAGAUGAUGAUGCAGCCAUGAAGCACCGAAAGAAGGAGAAAGAGGAACAAAAUUGAUCAUAACGAUGUUAAUGUUACGAUAAUAAUGAUAAUGAUGGUGGAGGUGAUGAUGGUUUGAGGUAUCUAAAGAGGCCCAGAAAUGUUAAUAUGUUGUUUUAUAACUUAAUGCAAAGAGGUACAAUUAAUCAACAAUCAACUGUUCAUGGUGUGAACAUGCUUUUUCAACGGUGCAUUUUUCGAGAUGUUUGACUGAAUAAUGUCCAGUUAACUUGAAUCUUCCAGUCUAAUCAUCAUCAAGUGAAGAGUUAAAAUCACAGAUAAACUCUCAACCAUUCAGUUUCCUUGCGAUGAUUAUUUAGAGACGACGACAACGAUCAUUAUUAUGGUUAAAGUGAAAGAAUGGGAGAGAAAAAAAUCAUCAAAAGAUGAUGAAACUGAUAUGGUUAAGCUUAAUGAAGGGUUUCCCUUUCCUCUUCUAACCAGAAGGAAAAAUGAGUUGAAGAAUAAGAAGAAAUGGUAAAAGCAUUAUCAAUUUCAUUCCAAAGGGAAACUGAAGUAUAUAUAACCUGACAAACCAUGAAAUCGAUUCACCCGAAGAACACAGUUUAAUCAAAGAUAAAUAUCCACAAAACUUUGAAUCAUUGACAACGGAAGGAGACGAAAGAUGAUGACAAGAGAGUCACCGAGGAAAAAGACGAAAGCUAAAGAUAUCAAGCGAAAAUGACACAAAAAGCUAAACAUUUAGUUAUCAUAUUUAAUAACAGUUUUGUUUGAGGGGAAAGAGACACGGAGUGAGAAGAGAAUCAAGUGAACAAGUUGAUGAUUAUGAUAAAUCAAUUUAGCCUGAAGUGAAAAAAAAGUAAGAAUUCAAGAAGUGAGAAUGGAAACAUUUUCAUGAUCAAAAUGAUGUUGAUGAUGAUGAUGAUGGAACGUAAAUUGUGUUAAAGAUAACAAUAUUCACUACUUUGUAGUGGUUUUACAGUACAACAUCUUUUUUAGGUGUCACCAUCAAAUGGUUAUGCAAACAAUGGUUGUGUGUUGGAAUUACAUUUAAUGAUGUAAAUGUAAAAAAGCGUUUUUUGUCGAAGGGAAACAACAAAGUUGAUUAUGUUUUUGUCAUUAUCAUUUGGACUAUUUCUAAUAACUGUUUGGGACCAAGGAGGUGAAAAUGAUAGAUUUUUGGCAAUUAUUGAAUCGAGGAAAGGCGCAACAUUUUGAUUCAUUCAUCAAAGAUCACCAGGAUAAGGAGAAGAAAAAGUUCAACUAAAUCUUCUAGAUUGUACAUCAUUUUUCGUCAACAAAUCAGUUUGAUCAAAGUUAAAGAUAUCAAUCUGACAGGUUAACAUUUAAUUCAGUUUAAAUGCAAGAAACAUUGGAAACAUGAUUAACCGGAUACAAUUAUAAUUUUACAUUUCAUUGGAUUCAAUUGGUUAUCCUUGCUGAUCAAUUUUACCUGUGCAAUCAUAUCAUGGAUUUAUAUUAAUUUAUGUGCAUUCAUCAGUUGAUUCAUUUGGAAGAAGGAAGUUUUCCAAUUGAAAAUGAUCAAUCAAUUUCAUCUGUAAUGAGCAUUUAAUUGAUAAUUGUG